GAUGAACGCUGGCGGCGUGCCUAAUACAUGCAAGUCGAGCGAACGGACGAGAAGCUUGCUUCUCUGAUGUUAGCGGCGGACGGGUGAGUAACACGUGGAUAACCUACCUAUAAGACUGGGAUAACUUCGGGAAACCGGAGCUAAUACCGGAUAAUAUUUUGAACCGCAUGGUUCAAAAGUGAAAGACGGUCUUGCUGUCACUUAUAGAUGGAUCCGCGCUGCAUUAGCUAGUUGGUAAGGUAACGGCUUACCAAGGCAACGAUGCAUAGCCGACCUGAGAGGGUGAUCGGCCACACUGGAACUGAGACACGGUCCAGACUCCUACGGGAGGCAGCAGUAGGGAAUCUUCCGCAAUGGGCGAAAGCCUGACGGAGCAACGCCGCGUGAGUGAUGAAGGUCUUCGGAUCGUAAAACUCUGUUAUUAGGGAAGAACAUAUGUGUAAGUAACUGUGCACAUCUUGACGGUACCUAAUCAGAAAGCCACGGCUAACUACGUGCCAGCAGCCGCGGUAAUACGUAGGUGGCAAGCGUUAUCCGGAAUUAUUGGGCGUAAAGCGCGCGUAGGCGGUUUUUUAAGUCUGAUGUGAAAGCCCACGGCUCAACCGUGGAGGGUCAUUGGAAACUGGAAAACUUGAGUGCAGAAGAGGAAAGUGGAAUUCCAUGUGUAGCGGUGAAAUGCGCAGAGAUAUGGAGGAACACCAGUGGCGAAGGCGACUUUCUGGUCUGUAACUGACGCUGAUGUGCGAAAGCGUGGGGAUCAAACAGGAUUAGAUACCCUGGUAGUCCACGCCGUAAACGAUGAGUGCUAAGUGUUAGGGGGUUUCCGCCCCUUAGUGCUGCAGCUAACGCAUUAAGCACUCCGCCUGGGGAGUACGACCGCAGGGUUGAAACUCAAAGGAAUUGACGGGGACCCGCACAAGCGGUGGAGCAUGUGGUUUAAUUCGAAGCAACGCGAAGAACCUUACCAAAUCUUGACAUCCUUUGACAACUCUAGAGAUAGAGCUUUCCCCUUCGGGGGACAAAGUGACAGGUGGUGCAUGGUUGUCGUCAGCUCGUGUCGUGAGAUGUUGGGUUAAGUCCCGCAACGAGCGCAACCCUUAAGCUUAGUUGCCAUCAUUAAGUUGGGCACUCUAAGUUGACUGCCGGUGACAAACCGGAGGAAGGUGGGGAUGACGUCAAAUCAUCAUGCCCCUUAUGAUUUGGGCUACACACGUGCUACAAUGGACAAUACAAAGGGCAGCGAAACCGCGAGGUCAAGCAAAUCCCAUAAAGUUGUUCUCAGUUCGGAUUGUAGUCUGCAACUCGACUACAUGAAGCUGGAAUCGCUAGUAAUCGUAGAUCAGCAUGCUACGGUGAAUACGUUCCCGGGUCU
rnacentral:rRNA from 1 species